rnacentral:rRNA from 1 species
GACGAACGCUGGCGGCGUGCCUAACACAUGCAAGUCAACUUGACUGAAGGAGCAAUCUGACAGUAGAGUGGCGCAAGGGUGCGUAACGCGUAAGUAACUUGCCCCAAGGUAAGGAAUAACGUCGAGAAAUCGGCGCUAAUACCUCAUAAUGCAGCGGAUCCGCAUGGAUAUGUUGUUAAAGGUUUACCGCCUUGGGAUAGGCUUGCGUCUGAUUAGCUAGUUGGUGUGGUAACGGCACACCAAGGCUACGAUCAGUAACUGGUCUGAGAGGAUGAUCAGUCACACUGGAACUGAGACACGGUCCAGACUCCUACGGGAGGCAGCAGUGAGGAAUAUUGGGCAAUGCUCGAAAGAGUGACCCAGCAACGCCGCGUGGAGGAUGAAGGUAUUCUAUAUCGUAAACUCCUGUGAGAGCAGACGAAAGACAGAUUAUAAUCUGGAUGACUGUAUGCUCAGAGGAAG